rnacentral:rRNA from 1 species
UACGUGAGGGGCGAACGUUGUUCGGUGUCACUGGGCUUAAAGGGUGCGUAGGCGGAUAGGUAAGUCCGUGGUGAAAUCCUGCAGCUUAACUGCAGAACUGCCAUGGAUACUAUUUAUCUUGAAUGUCGUGGAGGUUAGCAGAAUAUGUCAUGUAGCGGUGAAAUGCUUAGAUAUGACAUAGAAUACCCAUUGCGAAGGCAGCUAACUACGCGAUAAUUGACGCUGAUGCACGAAAGCGUGGGGAUCAAACAGG